rnacentral:rRNA from 1 species
GGCGGCGUGCUUAACACAUGCAAGUCGAGCGGAAAGGCCCUUCGGGGUACUCGAGCGGCGAACGGGUGAGUAACACGUGAGUAACCUGCCCUGGACUUUGGGAUAACCCUCGGAAACGGGGGCUAAUACCGAAUACGACACACGUUCGCAUGAAGUCUGUGUGGAAAGUUUUUCGGUCUGGGAUGGACUCGCGGCCUAUCAGCUUGUUGGUGGGGUAAUGGCCUACCAAGGCGACGACGGGUAGCCGGCCUGAGAGGGCGACCGGCCACACUGGGACUGAGACACGGCCCAGACUCCUACGGGAGGCAGCAGUGGGGAAUAUUGCACAAUGGGCGGAAGCCUGAUGCAGCGACGCCGCGUGAGGGAUGACGGCCUUCGGGUUGUAAACCUCUUUCAGCAGGGACGAAGCGCAAGUGACGGUACCUGCAGAAGAAGCGCCGGCCAACUACGUGCCAGCAGCCGCGGUAAGACGUAGGGCGCGAGCGUUGUCCGGAUUUAUUGGGCGUAAAGAGCUCGUAGGCGGCUUGUCGCGUCGAAUGUGAAAACCCGAGGCUCAACCCCGGGCUUGCAGUCGAUACGGGCAGGCUAGAGUUCGGUAGGGGAGACUGGAAUUCCUGGUGUAGCGGUGAAAUGCGCAGAUAUCAGGAGGAACACCGGUGGCGAAGGCGGGUCUCUGGGCCGAUACUGACGCUGAGGAGCGAAAGCGUGGGGAGCGAACAGGAUUAGAUACCCUGGUAGUCCACGCUGUAAACGUUGGGCGCUAGGUGUGGGGACCCUCUCCGGGUUUCUGCGCCGCAGCUAACGCAUUAAGCGCCCCGCCUGGGGAGUACGGCGC